rnacentral:tRNA from 1 species
UGUGAUGUCUAAAUGAUUUAUUUUUAGGCCAUAAUCCUGUCACCUUAGGUCGAUCGGUACCUCAGUUUGAUAUUAAUUAACUAAGCAAUUUAGUUCUUCUAAGUUAUUAAAUUCAGUUCCUAAACUUUGUCUAGGUCACACCCAACAAGGGUACUCCUGGGCCAUUAGCUCAGGUGGUUAGAGCGCACCCCUGAUAAGGGUGAGGUCCCUGGUUCAAGUCCAGGAUGGCCCAUUCGGUGUUGGGGGUAUAGCUCAGUUGGUAGAGCGCCUGCUUUGCAAGCAGGAUGUCAGCGGUUCGAGUCCGCUUACCUCCACUGAUCCACCUCCUGAUAACGAAGCCAAGGAGAUUUGUUUGAUGUGAUCUAGAUUUGUUCUGGAACUAAGAACCUAGCUUCUUGUCAGCAAGAUUAAUUAUUUAGCUUGCUAGAUAGGACGCUGGGCUCACUGCAAUACAAAUUGCAGAGUUCUUCAGUAGAACCUUGACAACUGCAUAGGUGAGUCUGGAAAAAAUAAAGCAUCUCAUGGAUGCAUUGUUUUGAUACAUAGCAUAAGUUCUAAUUUAUUUAGCCUUUGCUUAUGUACAAAGAUAAUGUUUAAUUCUUGAGCAAGAGCCGAGACUCUAUGAU